GGCGAACGCUGGCGGCGUGCUUAACACAUGCAAGUCGAACGGAAAGGCCCUGCUUUUGUGGGGUGCUCGAGUGGCGAACGGGUGAGUAACACGUGAGUAACCUGCCCUUGACUUUGGGAUAACUUCAGGAAACUGGGGCUAAUACCGGAUAGGAGCUCCUGCUGCAUGGUGGGGGUUGGAAAGUUUCGGCGGUUGGGGAUGGACUCGCGGCUUAUCAGCUUGUUGGUGGGGUAGUGGCUUACCAAGGCUUUGACGGGUAGCCGGCCUGAGAGGGUGACCGGCCACAUUGGGACUGAGAUACGGCCCAGACUCCUAUGGGAGGCAGCAGUGGGGAAUAUUGCACAAUGGGCGGAAGCCUGAUGCAGCAACGCCGCGUGCGGGAUGACGGCCUUCGGGUUGUAAACCGCUUUCGCCUGUGACGAAGCGUGAGUGACGGUAAUGGGUAAAGAAGCACCGGCUAACUACGUG
rnacentral:rRNA from 1 species